AGAGUUUGAUCCUGGCUCAGGACGAACGCUGGCGGCGCGCCUUACGCAUGCAAGUCGAACGGUCCUUCGGGACAGUGGCGGACGGCUGAGUAACGCGUAGGUAACCUGUCCAAUGGUGGGGGAUAACACUUCGAAAGAAGUGCUAAUACCGCAUGUGAUCGGUUGGUGAAACUCCGGCCGAGGAAAGCCGCAAGGCGCCAAUGGAGGGGCCUGCGUCCUAUCACGGUAGUUGGUGGGGUAACGGCCUACCAAGCCUGUGACGGGUAGCUGGUCUGAGAGGACGACCAGCCAGAAGGGGACUGAGACACGGCCCCUACUCCUACGGGUGACGGUACCUCACGAAUAAGCCACGACUA
rnacentral:rRNA from 1 species